CAAGAAGCCGAAAGGCUACUUACAACCAUCGCGAACUGCUCCAAGUUGCUUCGGCGGCGCGGGCCCCCCGGGGCGCGCCCGCCGGAGGUACGAAACUCUCAUGCAUUACAGUGGCCUCUCUGAGUACGAAACGAAUAAGUCA
rnacentral:misc_RNA from 1 species